rnacentral:rRNA from 1 species
CCUACGGGAGGCAGCAGUAGGGAAUCUUCCACAAUGGGCGAAAGCCUGAUGGAGCAACGCCGCGUGGGUGAAGAAGGUCUUCGGAUCGUAAAACACUGUUGUUAGAGAAGAAAGCGCGUGAGAGUAACUGUUCACGUUUCGACGGUAUCUAACCAGAAAGCCACGGCUAACUACGUGCCAGCAGCCGCGGUAAUACGUAGGUGGCAAGCGUUAUCCGGAUUUAUUGGGCGUAAAGGGAACGCAGGCGGUCUUUUAAGUCGGAUGUGAAAGCCUUCGGCUUAACCGGAGUAGUGCAUUGGAAACUGGGAGACUUGAGUGCAGAAGAGGAGAGUAGAACUCCAGGUGUAGCGGUGAAAUGCGUAGAGAUAUGGAGGAACACCAGUGGCGAAAGCGGCUCUCUGGUC